UUCUUUACACCUUUAUGUCUUACAAGAUUGAUUUUAUUUUACACAGUUUGUUAAUUUAAUCUAUUUUUUCUUGGCAAUUCUAUUGGUAAUAGGCGUAGUCUACUGGGAAUGAACAAAUAUGAGUUUGCAAAAACUUACUGUGCUGUCAGUGUUGUCCGUGAUUCUCAAGGGAAAUUUUAUUAGGUAGUCUUUAGAAUUGUGUCAGAAUGGCACUAUGUGGUUUGGAUAAAUUACUUUUCAUACUGCCUUGUGGUUAAGUUGGUGUUUUAACAACCCAUUAAUAAGCAAAAAACAAAAAGCAUCAUGCUGAGCAUGCUUUUCAUGAAGAUGAUGAAAGACCAUGUGGCUAACUCUAUUUCUUGGGUGAUAGAGUUGACCACUUUGUGGAUUCUUAUCCUAUAAGGGAUAUCUAUAAAGACAUUGGUAAUAGGUAUGCCAUGUGAUUGGAAAACAGAGAGGCCAUAUCUUUUAUCUAGAGAAUUGUGUAAUGAUAUCUAUAAGUGUUCUGAUCAUAAGCUUUUUCUCAUAUUUUGCUGUUGCAAAGAACUUUUUAAAACAUUUCAUGUUGUUCUUGUAGGAUUUCUCAAAGGGAAUUCGCUUGGAAGAGUUGAAUGUGUUACUUAGGCAAACUAUUAUGGUUUGUGCUCUUGUUCUCAAUAUGUUACUGUUAGUGAAGUUGAAGCACCUUUUGAGCUUUAGAAGAGCAUUAGCAGUUCUGUAAUCAAUGAUGGGUUGAUAAACAAGUUGCCUUGUAUGUUCUUCCACGAGCAAGAGAUUCACUAUGGUAUAUUUUAGUGAACUGCCACCUACUUCCAGAUAUUAAGAAUGCAGAGGUAUUGCUAAAAUUGUUGCCAUACUUUUCUGAAGGCAUUUUUAAUUGUUUUAAUCCAAAUUUAGUGGUUCAAAACACUAUUGAGGACAAAACCCAGGAUAGUGGGCCUUACCCAUUUUCACUUAUAUUCGUGAAAUUUUAUAAAAAUUUAGAAUCUAUUUAAUGGGUUAAGAAUUUUUUCAAAAGAGACUAUUCACACACUUAUAGUCUUAUACAUGUUAUUUAUGGUUAAUUCCAAGACAAAUACUAGUUUGCCCCUAACAAUAUCUUACUUACAACACUCCUCAGGUUGGGACAUAGAUAUUAUAUAAUCAGAGCUAAUACUAUAUUAUGUAAUUAUUUGUUUAUGUAAUUAAUCUUUUGGCAAUGAACUUGUUUUGUUUGCUGGUAAUUGGUUGGGAAUUGUUGAGUGUAGGCAAUUUGUUUUGUUGGUUCCAA